GGGGCUCCGAGGAGCUCCAGCCAGGGCCGCGGUGCGCCUGCACGUCACGGCUGCUCAAACCCAAGCACGUCCCGAAAGCGGUAUUUUCUGCGUCUGGGAGGUUUUUGCAUCCUCAGUUCCCACCGCUGGGGCUGGCGGCGACCAACUCACGGACCUGACGUAGCCAGAGAGCUGUCAUUUCAGCACCGGGAUUCCGAAUUGAUCCAGUUCGCAGUGGAGGGGGCACAUCCCAGCUCCCGAGCUGCUGCGUGUCUCUCGCUGGAACAAUAGUAGUUUUUCUCUGGGAGGCUGCAAUUAACAUCUUAUUUGUUCUGGCUCCAUACAGGCUUUGUCAGGACCGCGGUGCGGCGACCGAGGUUGGGCUCUUGCAUUUCUUUCUGCUUGGCAAUGGAAUCAUGGUUUCCGGGUCUAAACUUUUGUUUUGUAGUCUUAAUGUAUCUGAUUCUUUUUCAAGUUUCCUUAGUAACAGGUUUGGGGACGGAGUGGAAAGAAAAGAGAAAAGGGGUGAAGAGAAACAACCAAAUUAUAUAGAAGGGAAAAGAGAUAAGUUUCCCUACCUUUUAAUUUAUCUAUCUGCCUGUCUAUCCACCAUCUAUCAGUCAUUUUGCCUCCUGGACAGUUGGCUGACGAAGUGUUUGAUAAACUAGCUCAGAUACAUGCUGCAAAAGGUCAUUCUCCUCCUGAUUAUGUCUCUACUUGUAAACGCAGUUGGUGGGUUGCAAAACAAGUGCUAAAAUAGUGCAGUGAUGUGGUGGGAGGAAACCAUAAUGGGCAAUUGAUAUAAAGUGUUGGAAUCUUCUUGAGGGUGACAUUCUCCAGCGGCAGGUGAAGUUGAAUAAAGCAAUUUUCCAUCAUU